CGGCGGACGGGUUACUAACGCGUGGGAACGUGCCCUUCUCUACGGAAUAGCCUUUGGAAACGAAGAGUAAUACCGUAUACGCCCUUCGGGGGAAAGAUUUAUCGGAGAGGGAUCGGCCCGCGUUAGAUUAGGUAGUUGGUGGGGUAAUGGCCUACCAAGCCUACGAUCUAUAGCUGGUUUGAGAGGAUGAUCAGCAACACUGGGACUGAGACACGGCCCAGACUCCUACGGGAGGCAGCAGUGGGGAAUCUUAGACAAUGGGGGAAACCCUGAUCUACCCAUGCCGCGUGAGUGACGAAGGCCCUAGGGUCGUAAAGCUCUUUCGCCAGGGAUGAUAAUGACAGUACCUGGUAAAGAAACCCCGGCUAACUCCGUGCCAGCAGCCGCGGUAAU
rnacentral:rRNA from 1 species